UACGAAGGGGGCGAGCGUUGUUCGGAAUUACUGGGCGUAAAGGGCGCGCAGGCGGCUCUGAAAGUCAGAUGUGAAAGCCCCGGGCUUAACCUGGGAAUUGCAUUUGAUACUCUGGAGCUUGAGUGUGGGAGAGGAGAGUGGAAUUCCCAGUGUAGAGGUGAAAUUCGUAGAUAUUGGGAAGAACACCGGUGGCGAAGGCGGCUCUCUGGACCACAACUGACGCUGAGGAGCGAAAGCGUGGGGAGCGAACAGG
rnacentral:rRNA from 1 species